GUCUCGUUUCACCAGCACAUAUAGUAAAAUUGGAACAGUACAGAGAAGAUUAACAUGGCCCCUGUGCAAGGAUGACAUGCAAAUCGUGAAGUGUUCCAUUUAUAA